GAUGAAGAACGUAGCGAAAUGCGAUAAGUAGUGUGAAUUGCAGACUUUAGUGAAUCAUCGAAUCUUUGAACGCACAUUGCGCCCCCUGGUAUUCCGGGGGGCAUGCCUGUCCGAGCGUCAUUGCUGCCCUCAAGCACGGCUUGUGUGUUGGGCCUCCGUCCUCCUCCCGGGGGACGGGCCCGAAAGGCAGCGGCGGCACCGCGUCCGGUCCUCGAGCGUAUGGGGCUUCGUCACCCGCUCUUGUAGGCCCGGCCGGCGCUUGCCGACACAUCAAUCUUUUUUCCAGGUUGACCUCGGAUCAGGUAGGGAUACCCGCUGAACUUAAGCAUAUCAAUAAGCGGAGGA
rnacentral:misc_RNA from 1 species